rnacentral:rRNA from 1 species
UACGGAGGGUGCAAGCGUUAUCCGGAUUCACUGGGUUUAAAGGGUGCGUAGGAGGGCAGGUAAGUCAGUGGUGAAAUCUCCGAGCUUAACUUGGAACUGCCGUUGAUACUAUCUGUCUUGAAUAUUGUGGAGGUGAGCGGAAUAUGUCAUGUAGCGGUGAAAUGCUUAGAUAUGACAUAGAACACCAAUUGCGAAGGCAGCUCGCUACACAUAUAUUGACUCUGAGGCACGAAAGCGUGGGGAUCAAACAGGA